ensembl:lncRNA
CAGGCUUCAUCUGCUUAUUCUGAGUCCUUGACAACAGAGUGGGGAUUCUGAGUCCCCAUUUCAGGCUCAAGAGAGGUGGCCUUCUUGUUUCUCAUCAUCUGAUUUAUACCUUGAGGAGUAAAGCAACCUGGGAAGACACCAAUGAUUCUGAUUACAUGCAGCAUGAAUCUGAUUCCUUUUUGUCUGGCUCACUUUCUCAGCACCCAAUUCAUUUCCAGAAGCACAUCAAUUCCAGGAAGUGCAAGACCCUAGGACAGAGUAUUCUUUCAUUGCCUGCUAAUGCGGGUUCUCUGCUGCUGAGUCAUGAGAAUAAAGGUUUAGCCCUGAGUGGAAUGGAGACUCCUGGAGCCUGAAUUCAUGGUGAUGGUUCCUAUCUACUUCUGCAACAGCUUGGCUGGCCGAUCCAAAGGACAUCUCUCCAGAAGUCUCUGUUCUUCAUAAUGCUAACUGAAUGGAGUCAGUAACAAAGCAGGCAAAGAAAGGAUCCUGCUCUGUCUCCUAGAAACCCUAUAUCUUGGCUGGGUUCUGAAUGAGCAACUUUUCGCACUUGUCUCUAGAGCUGACCACAACUUUCCUGAUCUCUCACCUGCAAUCCUGUGUUUAUUUUACCUGUAGUUCGAGUCUACCCAACUCACAGCCAUUAAACUAGAUUUCACUAAGCCCAAUUCUUCAUUUUCUCUCUUUCUUUUUUUUGCUUAGUCACUAUGAUAUUUCUGUACUUGGUGUGACAAAAAACAAACUCCUCCAUCUUGGGAUAUACCCUUCUCAAACCAAACCUGCUCACUUGUUCUCCCUUCCUACCUGGCUCACUACCACACACACCUCUGCUCUCAUUGUUCCUGCCAACAACAUUGUCUUCCUCUCAAGCCCACUUCCUUGCCUACUGACUCUUCCUGCUGUGCAUGCUCAUUUCCACAUCUGAAAGGAGUCAAUGUGCUGCUCCAGGUCCCAGACACACUCAGCAUGAAGCGCACAGCUCACCAACAGUGCUCCCCUCCUCUCCAUCCCCCACCAAACCCCAGCUGCUGACUCAGACUUGGGCUGAUGGGGCACCCAGACCUCACCUCUUCACCCCUGCUCUAUGGGCCUCAUUGCUAUAACUGAGCUGUUGUCUGGGUCCUUGUGUAGGUUCCAGCUGAGUCAUCUUGCCUCAUCUUUU